CUGGCGGCGUGCCUAAUACAUGCAAGUCGAACGGUCUUUCUAUGGAAGCUUGCUUCCACUGAGAAGAUAGUGGCGAACGGGUGAGUAACACGUGGGUAACCUGCCCAUAAGAGGGGGGAUAACAUCCGGAAACGGGUGCUAAUACCGCAUAGUUUUCUUGAUCGCAUGAUCGGGAAAGGAAAGACGGCCUUUGUGCUGUCGCUUAUGGAUGGACCCGCGGCGUAUUAGUUAGUUGGUGAGGUAACGGCUCACCAAGACGAUGAUACGUAGCCGACCUGAGAGGGUGAUCGGCCACAUUGGGACUGAGACACGGCCCAAACUCCUACGGGAGGCAGCAGUAGGGAAUCUUCCGCAAUGGACGAAAGUCUGACGGAGCAACGCCGCGUGAGUGAAGAAAGGUUUUCGGAUCGUAAAACUCUGUUGUCAGAGAAGAACAAGUUGGAGAGUAACUGCUCCAGCCUUGACGGUAUCUGACCAGAAAGCCACGGCUAACUACGUGCCAGCAGCCGC
rnacentral:rRNA from 1 species